rnacentral:lncRNA from 1 species
CCAGGCAUUAGGAGCAUUUCCUGUUUAGUAAAUAUAACGCAGGGCAAACAAUGGGGCCGCAGGAAAAAACCUUCCGGGAAAUCAGCCCGUCUCCUAGCACUGCGCUGGGAUGCUCACGUAGCCCCCACGCACUGGGCCACAGGCCUGGUAAGGCCCCCAUGUGCCACUGACCAGCCAGGUGCCCUGCAGCCAACCCAAGCGGGUCGAGCGCUUGAGGCGCACGCGGGAGACAGGUGCCCUGGCCUUGUGACCAGCCACAGCCCCUCGUUCCAGCGCCUUCUGCCCCCGUCCCUCCUGCCAGGCACUCAGCAGUGCAGUGUGGCCCUGCGGCUGCUGGCGCCCGGUCCAGGUGUGCUGCAAGGUGUCUCCCUGGGUUGCUGGCGGGAGGCCGGACUCCUGAAGCCCCCCUCCCCUCAGUCCCCGCUCACCUGGAGAGAACAGGCUCACCUCGAGGUCCUUUGUCACCCACUGGAGCCCAAAGCCCAGUCCCCACCCUGCUUUGUCAGCGGCCUUUUCUGGGAGUCUGAACUAGUGCGAGACAUGGGGGGGGGGCCUGUGGCGGCUCUGCCCUAUAUGCCCUGGGCAGGGGAGGGGCCUCACACACACAUGGGGCGCACAUGCCCCUGGCACGGGAGCCACACAGCCCACAACAUGUCCAGGACCCACAGUUACAGAACUCUUCAAUCAAUGUGUGUUUGCCCCCCGAUCUCUGAGCUCAGCGGUAGCCCCAUUUUACACGGGGGGAGACUGAAGCACAGAGAGGGUGACACGGACGGCCCAGAUUCACCCAGCCAGUGAAUGGGAGUGCCUGGAAUAGAACCCAGGAGUCCUGGCCCCAGUUCCCACCCCUGCUUCGACCCAUUAGGCCCCACGCCCGGAGGUGGGCCUAGAACUAGGGCGUUCUGGCUCCACGCCGCCCCCCCCUCUGACUACUCCAGCAGGGGCUUGGCUGCAGGAGGGGGAACCCAGCCGGGAGGAGGGGAUGCUCCCAGCCAGCGGGACGAGGGCGUGGCACCUGUCAGCUGGCGGGGAGGCGGUGUGGGGCUGGGCACCAGGGUGAGCCCCCAUGUGUCAGACAC